rnacentral:lncRNA from 1 species
UCCCGCCGCCCGAGCCCUCGUCCGAGCCUCCUCCGAGCGCCGUCUCCUCCGAGCGGGUCACCUGCAGCGUCCCUUCGCCGAGCUCCAUCCGGCCUUCUCUUCUCACCCGAGACUAGGAGACAUCCUAGCGGUGCCAUCACGCUACACCCGAGCUCCACCAGCCUGACCCUAGCCCGAGGUCAGCAGGCCGCAAGCCCAGCUCCCCCACCCGGCCCGCGCGCCAACCUUCCUUGAGCGCGGCCCAGGUCCAGGCAGUUUCAGAACGGGCUUGGUCCAGGCCCGUGUGCCGUUUGCUGAAGCGCGGCCCAAGGCCCUUGGCUGCAGGCCCUGUUUCAGGCCCGAUCCAGAGUGUUCUUCAGCCCAUUUCGACAGCCCAGGAAUCUUUGUGCUGUAGAUCCAGGUCUACAACUCCAGCUAGCUCUGCCCAGCGUCAACUUCGUGUUCGAGACUCCACGAGCAGACGAUUCUGGUCAACUGUAUUCACCACAGGUAAUAGGUUCUUCCUCCUUUGGGCUUGCUUAUCUAAAUAUGUUCUAGUUCUCUUGCAUGACAGUCCUAUUUUGAAACUUAUUUUCUUGUCAAACUGCAAAACCUAGAACAUUUUCCACCACACCCGUCCUACCUACCAAUUAAAUCUAAAUAUUAAAUUAGCACACCUUAGUGUCAGGACAUCAUCAACAUCCAUAGAUCAGAUUACUUUCAGACUUGGAAUGACCGUAAAACGUGUUUGCAACCUAACUUCUUAUAGUGACUAAUUUUCUACUUUAAUUCUGAACUAACCAAAGUACAAAUUAGUAACAUUUAAUUUUAAGUUAUUUUUGUGAAAAGUUGCUGACUUCCGAAUUCAUAGUAGGUUGCAUUAGUGGAUUGCAUCAGUAGGUUGUCCUGCAUUACAUUUGGACAAUUAGGGUUCAUUAGUAGCAUUGCAUAUCAUAUCACCAACUAGAGUAGUUCCUGUAUGCCCACCCGUAGUGGUAGAGAGUACCUCCUCACUGACUCUCAGACCCCUUCAUCCACCAUGGACCCCAGAGUCAUACAAGAUAUUCUGGAACAAUUAGCUGCAAUACGAGCUGAUAACGACGAAUUCAAACGUGAGAUCCGUGCCCUAGUACAACACC